rnacentral:tRNA from 1 species
AGGGAGCUAGUUUAUUUGAACGUAAACUUUCAAAGUUUAAGGAGAAUGUAUAUUCGUUUCCUG